rnacentral:rRNA from 1 species
GAUGAACGCUGGCGGCGUGCCUAAUACAUGCAAGUCGAGCGAACAGACGAGGAGCUUGCUCCUCUGACGUUAGCGGCGGACGGGUGAGUAACACGUGGAUAACCUACCUAUAAGACUGGGAUAACUUCGGGAAACCGGAGCUAAUACCGGAUAAUAUAUUGAACCGCAUGGUUCGAUAGUGAAAGACGGUUUUGCUGUCACUUAUAGAUGGAUCCGCGCCGCAUUAGCUAGUUGGUAAGGUAACGGCUUACCAAGGCAACGAUGCGUAGCCGACCUGAGAGGGGGUCGGGCCACACGGAACUGGAACCGCGGCCCGGCUCCCAAGGGAAGGAGCAGGAGGGAAACUUUCGCAAAGGGCGGAAAGCCGGACGAAGAAACGCGGGGUGGUGGAUGAGGUGUUCGGAGUGGAAAAACUUUUUAAUAGGGGAAAAAAAAAUGUGAAGGUAACGAUGCCAGUCUGAAGGGACCCAAUUAAGAAGGCCAGGGCAACUUAGGG